rnacentral:rRNA from 1 species
CCCCCCGUGAGAAUGCCCUACAGCUCCCUGCCCGGGAGCAAGGAGCUGGUAUCAGGCACACACCUGUAAGCCCAUGACACCUUGCUUAGCCACACCCUCAAGGGAACUCAGCAGUGAUAAACAUUAAGCCAUAAGUGAAAACUUGACUUAGUUAAAGCUAAGAGGGCCGGUAAAACUCGUGCCAGCCACCGCGGCUAUACGAGAGACCCGAGUUGAUACCAUUCGGCGUAAAGAGUGGUUAUGGAAAAUAAAAACUAAAGCCGCACACCUUCAAAGCUGUUAUACGCAUCCGAAGGCAAGAAGACCAACCACGAAGGUAGCUUUACAACCCCUGACCCCACGAAAGCUCUGGCACAAACUGGGAUUAGAUACCCCACUAUGCCUAGCCCUAAACCUUGGCAAUAUAUCACAUACCCUGCCCGCCUGGGAACUACGAGCAUCAGCUUAAAACCCAAAGGACUUGGCGGUGCUUUAGACCCCCCUAGAGGAGCCUGUUCUAGAACCGAUAACCCCCGUUCAACCUCACCCUUCCUUGUUUAUCCC